rnacentral:rRNA from 1 species
UACAGAGGGUGCAAGCGUUAAUCGGAAUUACUGGGCGUAAAGCGCGCGUAGGCCGUCGAGUAAGUCGGGUGUGAAAUCCCUGGGCUUAACCUGGGAAUUGCAUUCGAUACUGCCUGACUAGAGUGUGGAAGAGGGAAGCGGAAUUUCCGGUGUAGCGGUGAAAUGCGUAGAUAUCGGAAGGAACACCAGUGGCGAAGGCGGCUUCCUGGUCCAACACUGACGCUGAGGCGCGAAAGCGUGGGGAGCAAACAGG